GUGAAUCUGGCCCAUUGUCUCUGAGAGUGAUAUAACGAGUAGCAACCGUCUUCUACAGAUGGGCUCGGGACACCCAGAGCCCACCCAGUUGUGUGACAAUAGCGAAUUAAUAUUCGCUAUAGUCUUCCUGAUUCUCCUCCCGGCCAAUCAGAAGGACCCAUUUCCUGAAAGGAGAAGCUAUUGGCCUUGGAGGAGACGCAGGGGAAGCCGGCGCCCCUGGAGAGAAGCGCUGGCCGCGCCAUAGGGUGCAUGUGACCCGCCACUGAUUGCCAGAAUGUCACAGCAAGGAUUGUUCAGGUCCCGGCCUGUAUAUUAGAAAGGAGAAGUAUAAAAGCCAAUAGAAGUAGGCAGUACAUUGUGCUGGGAAUGACGGUGAUCUCCAGUAAAACAACUUCCAGUCCGUCUUUCUAAAUCUUGAAUAGAGGCUGAAGUUCCUAUAUUCACCACUAGGAGGGGACAUCACUGAGUGGAAUCUAUAGACAGGCAACCGUGGAAGGGGGGAGAGGAAAUAAUCCUACCAAGAGACAGGAUAUUCCGGUUGAGCAGACGAAGAGAGGAGACAUUGCUGGAACUGGCAACAGAGGAGGACUAAAGUAGUGAAGAAGACAUCCGAUGAGUGAUUUACACCCAGCAGCCAUCCCAAUAUUGCAUCCGUUCCUCAUUCGCUGACAUCAGAAGAAAACGGCUAGAAGGUCCUAGAAGUCAACAACAAGAACCACAGGACGUCAUGAUGGAGAAUCAGCCGCCCCUCACAUCACCGGAUGGAUCCAGUAAUGGGAAC